GAUGAAGAACGUAGUGAAAUGCGAUAAGUAAUGCGAAUUGCAGAAUUCAGUGAAUCAUCGAAUCUUUGAACGCACAUUGCGCCCGCCAGUAUUCUGGCGGGCAUGCCUGUCUGAGCCUCGUUUCGACCCUCGCGCCCGGCUUCUGUCGGGGGCGGUGUUGGGGAUCGGCCACACCCUUCAGUGGGAGGCCGGCCCCUAAAUUCAGUGGCGACCACGCUGUAGCCUCCCCUGCGUAGUACUAAAACCACCUCGCAGGCGGAGAGCGGUGCGGCCCGCCGUAAAACCCCCCAACUUUUACAAGGUCGACCUCAGAUCAGGUAGGAAUACCCGCUGAACUUAAGCAUAUCAAUAAGCGGAGGA
rnacentral:misc_RNA from 1 species